GAUGAAGAACGCAUCGAAAUGCGAUAAGUAAUGUGAAUUGCAGAAUUCAGUGAAUCAUCGAAUCUUUGAACGCACAUUGCGCCCCCUGGUAUUCCGGGGGGCAUGCCUGUUCGAGCGUCAUUACAACCCUCAAGCUCUGCUUGGUAUUGGGCCCCGCCAGUUCUGGCGGGCCCUAAAGUCAGUGGCGGUGCCUUCCGGCUCCGAGCGUAGUAAUUCUUCUCGCUCUGGAGACCCGGUUGUGUGCUUGCCAACAACCCCCAAUUUUUUAAGGUUGACCUCGGAUCAGGUAGGGAUACCCGCUGAACUUAAGCAUAUCAAUAAGCGGAGGA
rnacentral:misc_RNA from 1 species